AAAAAUUUCCUCAGUAAGCUACGUCCUUCGCAGAUCCACCUCUACCACCCUCCUCAUUGGAGUUUCUAUUUUCCAAUAUCAAUUCCCAUUUUGCCCCUCGCCUCCUUCUCUUCCCAGCCAUGUCGUCGGAAGAGCCAACCGUGGCCGUAGAGCAACCUGCAGCUGAGCCCGAAGCAACCGCCGAGCCACCUCCCGAGGCAGAGCCCGAGAACCCAACUCCCAAGCCCAAGAAGGCCGCUAAGGAGCCCAAGCCCAAAAAACCCGCGGCUCCUAGAUCCCGAAACCCCUCUCACCCUCCCUACGAAGAGAUGGUUAAGGACGCGAUUGUGACGUUGAAGGAGAAAAACGGUUCCAGUCAAUACGCGAUUCAGAAGUUCGUAGAAGAGAAGCAGAAGCAGCUACCUUCCAACUUCAGGAAGCUCUUGUUGUAUCAUUUGAAGAAGCUCGUUUCUUCUGGAAAGCUCGUUAAGGUCAAAGGCUCCUUCAAGCUUCCUCCGGUCAGGUCUGCAGCUCCCAAACCCGCUGCUGCUGCCCCCGCCAAGAAGAAGGCUGCAGCUGCUAAGCCCAAGCCAAAGCCCAAGCCCAAAGCUAAGCCUGCUUCUAAGGCCAAGGCCACCAAAACUAAGUCAGCAGCAGCCAAAGCACCUGCCAAGGCCAAGCCCGCUGCAAAGCCCAAGCCCAAGGCCAAGCCAGCUGCUAAACCCAAGGCGGUUGCUGCUAAGACCAAGGCAGCUCCGGCCAAGUCUAAGGCCAAGGCUAAGACGGCGCCAGCUGCAAAGCCGAAGGCAGCUGCGAAGCCUAAACCGGCUGCUAAGCCCAAGCCCAAGCCCAAAGAGAGGCCCUCCAAGGCUUCUAGAACGUCGACGAGAACUUCACCGGGGAAGAAAGCCCCUGCCGCUAAACCUGCGGCGAAGAAGGCAGCUCCCGCGAAGAAAGCCCCUGCAAAGGGUGCAAAGGCGAAGACCGUGAAAUCUCCUGCGAAGAAGGCGACGACGGCGAGAAGGGGGAGAAAGUGAAGAUGGUGGACAGCACCGGAGCCUAGUGUUGUAGGUUUAGUCAUUGGAACGGAAUUGCGGUUGUGGUCAUUGGCUUUGUCGGAUCUCUAAAUGGUUGAAUUCCCGAAGAUGAGAAAUCCUUGUACCACGUGUUUUUGGAUGCGAUAACUGGGAUCAAUGGUCGUGAUUACAUCUAAAGCUCUCGCUGAUAAUUUCUGAUAGACAAGCUUGCUCGCUUUUCAAUAGUGUUGAGUUCGAUCUUUGAGGAUGGAAAAAUCAGCUUCACAAACUGGGAUGGCGUUGGCAUCUUCAUCCCACUUCAGACAGUCGAUUUCUUCUGGAUCAACAAGCCCUGUCUUGGCUAUCUUUCUAUCCUUUUAACAGGUAUUAUGUCAGUGGUAGAUUGUUUUCAUUUUUGUUGGGUAUAGCAAAGUUAGCAACCAUUAUAAAGACAAUAGUAUUGAUAUUAUUGUUACAUUGAGGUGAAAGACUGAAAGUUGAUAGCAUUGACAGUAUGUUGGGAUCCAAAUUUUAUUAUUGACUAUCAUUUGUCUGAUACAAAAUAAAUUGUGAUUAAUAAGAUCAUCAAAUAGAAAGAUAAAUGAAUUUUGGCUUAUGCCUCUGACAACUGCUAGGUCUCAUGCAGUAGUGGUGGCUGUGACGGUUAAUAUUUCUAGCUACUGUUAUUGGUUUCACUGUGAAGUGUUAUCCAGGAGGGUGUGCCAUCCAUAUUACAUUGCGCCUGUCGUGUAGUGCUAGCUAGUAUCAGGAGAUAGGAGGGAUGAGGCUGCAUCUGUGGAUGAUUGGUGGACUCGUUUGGAAAGAUGAAUUUGUCAUGUAGUAACCAAAAGCAUGUAUGGUUCAAAAUAUUCUCGGUGCCUACGUACACAAACAGAACAAAAUACAAAGUAAAGACUAAAGAAGAGUCUUGAGCUAAGGGCAUUGUAGAUGACAUACUUCUGAUUCUUUGAAGGCAUUUUUUUUAUCUACCUGUAGUUCUUGCUUAGAAAGGUAUCCGUAAGUUUCAUUCAUGCAGAUGCAAUAUUAGUAUACUAUUAGAUUUCUUGCUGUUUAUUUGAGGAUUUGAUAAUGAGACUUGUUAACGAAAAUUCUAGGUAGCUUAAAUGUUGAUAGAACAAGGAAACAGAACGUUUAUGAACUUCCUUUAGUAAAACAAUAAAUUUGCUUCUUACCAAAACUUAGAAUUUUGCUUCAUAGAUAGUAGAAGAGUGGGUAGGUUAUGACUUAUGACAUGAAAAAGGCAUUACCCCGUCUGUGAAAUCAUUU